CAUUGUUAGCAGCUAGCUAGCGUUAUAUAGACACCAUCUAUAAACCAAGUCCUGUAUCCAACGCGAAUGAAAGACUACCUGGGGACCUGAGCCCUAGGAUCAUGCCUCAAGACUACCUGGCAUGAUGACUCCUUGCUGUCCCCAAUCCACCUGGCCGUGCUGCUGCUCCAGUUUCAUCUGUUCUGCCUGUGGCUAUGGAACUCUGACCUGUUCACCGGACGUGCUAACUGUCCCAGACCUGCUGUUUUCAACUCUCUAGAGACAGCAGGAGCGGUAGAGAUACUCUUAAUAGUCGGCUAUGAAAAGCCAACUGACAUUUACUCCUGAGGUGCUGACUUGCUGCACCCUCGACAACUACUGUGAUUAUUAUUAUUUGACCAUGCUGGUCAUUUAUGAACAUUUGAACAUCUUGGCCAUGUUCUGUUAUAAUCUCCACCCGGCACAGGCAGAAGAGGACUGGCCACCCCUCAUAGCCUGGUUUCUCUCUGGGUUUCUUCCUAGGUUUUGGCCUUUCUAUGGAGUUUUUCCUAGCCACCGUGCUUCUACACCUGCAUUGCUUGCUGUUUGGGGUUUUAGGCUGGGUUUCUGUACAGUAAUUUGAGAUAUCAGCUGAUGUAAGAAGGGCUAUAUAAAUAAAUUUGAUUUGAUUCA